rnacentral:tRNA from 2 species
ACUUUUCUAGUAUAAACUAGUACAAGUGAUUUCCAAUUACUUAAUCUUGGUUAAAAUCCAAGGAAAAGUA